rnacentral:rRNA from 1 species
UGGGAAUUUUGGACAAUGGGCGCAAGCCUGAUCCAGCCAUGCCGCGUGCGGGAAGAAGGCCUUCGGGUUGUAAACCGCUUUUGUCAGGGAAGAAAUCUUCUGAGUUAAUACCUCGGGAGGAUGACGGUACCUGAAGAAUAAGCACCGGCUAACUACGUGCCAGCAGCCGCGGUAAUACGUAGGGUGCAAGCGUUAAUCGGAAUUACUGGGCGUAAAGCGUGCGCAGGCGGUUUUGUAAGACAGAGGUGAAAUCCCCGGGCUCAACCUGGGAACUGCCUUCGUGACUGCAAGGCUUGAGUGCGGCAGAGGGGGAUGGAAUUCCGCGUGUAGCAGUGAAAUGCGUAGAUAUGCGGAGGAACACCGAUGGCGAAGGCAAAUCCCCUGGGCCUGCACUGACGCUCAUGCACGAAAAGCGUGGGGAGCAAAACAGGAUUAGAUACCCUGGUAGUCCGCGCCCUAAAACGAUGUCAACUGGUUGUUGGGAAGGUUCCUUCUCAGUAACGUAGCUAACGCGUGAAGUUGACCGCCUGGGGAGUACGGCCGCAAGGUUGAAAACUCAAAAUGAAUUGACGGGGUCAUAG